UGGCUAGAAGAAGAAGAAGAAGAACUUGAUAGGCUAUAAAUAUAAGUGUAAAAUAUUUUUUAAUGUGUAUAAGAUGCAUGUCCAGAUAAAGGUGCUACAACUGACCAACUUUAAAAAUAAUGAUAUAUGAAGAUAAACUAAAUCAUGAAUAGUGAUGUGCCUUUAAAACUGUUUCAUGGGAGUAAAACAUCCAGACACAACAGAAUGCAACAACAGAUGUAUCGGAAGCUCAAAAUCAGAAACUGAAAUCUGCCCAUGUGGAGUGUCACCAGAGAAUGCUGACCAUCUCCUCCAAAACUGCUCUCUUUACCAAGAGGCUGUACAUGACACUGGCCCAUAAACACCCCAAUAGAAAGAAAACUAUAUGGAGAGUUCCCUGAUUUGGAAACCACUGCGAAAAUAAUCUCAUAUACUGGUCCAGUCAUCUGAAUGCUCCACUAAAAAAAUGAGAAGGAAGAAGAAAGAAGAUUGAGCGGAAAUUCGUAGUGUUGGCACAGAAGCUGGAAUGUUUGCUAUCAGGGCUCGUAGGAAGAUGGCUACAGAGAAAGAUUUUCUGGAAGCAGUAAAUAAAGUCAUCAAAGCCUACGCCAAAUCUAGUGCAACUCCUUGCUACAUGACUUACAAUGAAAUCAAUAGUAGCUUGAUAGAAAUGUCUACUAGAGAAUCAGUACAGAACUUGUGUUUACUCACUGAUCUGAUUUUAAACUUAAGUGAAUCAUUGUUUGUAUUCAUGAUGUUUUAUUUCAACUUAUUAAAUCAUGGUAUCUUUCUUAUUAAA